rnacentral:rRNA from 1 species
UACAUGUGGGGCAAGCGUUGUUCGGAAUUACUGGGCGUAAAGGGCGCGUAGGCGGUUUGCUAAGUUGGAUGUGAAAACUCUGGGCUUAACCCAGAGCCUGCAUCCAAAACUGGCAAACUUGAGUACUGGAGGGGAAAGCGGAAUUCCUGGUGUAGCGGUGAAAUGCGUAGAUAUCAGGAGGAACACCCGUAGCGAAGGCGGCACUCUGGGCCGGAACUGACGCUGAGGAGCGAAAGCGUGGGGAGCGAACAGG